rnacentral:rRNA from 1 species
GGGUUGUGAGGUUAAGCGACUAAGCGUACACGGUGGAUGCCCUGGCAGUCAGAGGCGAUGAAGGACGUGCUAAUCUGCGAUAAGCGUCGGUAAGGUGAUAUGAACCGUUAUAACCGGCGAUUUCCGAAUGGGGAAACCCAGUGUGUUUCGACACACUAUCAUUAACUGAAUCCAUAGGUUAAUGAGGCGAACCGGGGGAACUGAAACAUCUAAGUACCCCGAGGAAAAGAAAUCAACCGAGAUUCCCCCAGUAGCGGCGAGCGAACGGGGAGCAGCCCAGAGCCUGAAUCAGUAUGUGUGUUAGUGGAAGCGUCUGGAAAGGCGCGCGAUACAGGGUGACAGCCCCGUACACAAAAAUGCACAUAUUGUGAGCUCGAUGAGUAGGGCGGGACACGUGGUAUCCUGUCUGAAUAUGGGGGGACCAUCCUCCAAGGCUAAAUACUCCUGACUGACCGAUAGUGAACCAGUACCGUGAGGGAAAGGCGAAAAGAACCCCGGCGAGGGGAGUGAAAAAGAACCUGAAACCGUGUACGUACAAGCAGUGGGAGCACGCUUAGGCGUGUGACUGCGUACCUUUUGUAUAAUGGGUCAGCGACUUAUAUUCUGUAGCAAGGUUAACCGAAUAGGGGAGCCGAAGGGAAACCGAGUCUUAACUGGGCGUUAAGUUGCAGGGUAUAGACCCGAAACCCGGUGAUCUAGCCAUGGGCAGGUUGAAGGUUGGGUAACACUAACUGGAGGACCGAACCGACUAAUGUUGAAAAAUUAGCGGAUGACUUGUGGCUGGGGGUGAAAGGCCAAUCAAACCGGGAGAUAGCUGGUUCUCCCCGAAAGCUAUUUAGGUAGCGCCUCGUGAAUUCAUCUCCGGGGGUAGAGCACUGUUUCGGCAAGGGGGUCAUCCCGACUUACCAACCCGAUGCAAACUGCGAAUACCGGAGAAUGUUAUCACGGGAGACACACGGCGGGUGCUAACGUCCGUCGUGAAGAGGGAAACAACCCAGACCGCCAGCUAAGGUCCCAAAGUCAUGGUUAAGUGGGAAACGAUGUGGGAAGGCCCAGACAGCCAGGAUGUUGGCUUAGAAGCAGCCAUCAUUUAAAGAAAGCGUAAUAGCUCACUGGUCGAGUCGGCCUGCGCGGAAGAUGUAACGGGGCUAAACCAUGCACCGAAGCUGCGGCAGCGACGCUUAUGCGUUGUUGGGUAGGGGAGCGUUCUGUAAGCCUGUGAAGGUGUGCUGUGAGGCAUGCUGGAGGUAUCAGAAGUGCGAAUGCUGACAUAAGUAACGAUAAAGCGGGUGAAAAGCCCGCUCGCCGGAAGACCAAGGGUUCCUGUCCAACGUUAAUCGGGGCAGGGUGAGUCGACCCCUAAGGCGAGGCCGAAAGGCGUAGUCGAUGGGAAACAGGUUAAUAUUCCUGUACUUGGUGUUACUGCGAAGGGGGGACGGAGAAGGCUAUGUUGGCCGGGCGACGGUUGUCCCGGUUUAAGCGUGUAGGCUGGUUUUCCAGGCAAAUCCGGAAAAUCAAGGCUGAGGCGUGAUGACGAGGCACUACGGUGCUGAAGCAACAAAUGCCCUGCUUCCAGGAAAAGCCUCUAAGCAUCAGGUAACAUCAAAUCGUACCCCAAACCGACACAGGUGGUCAGGUAGAGAAUACCAAGGCGCUUGAGAGAACUCGGGUGAAGGAACUAGGCAAAAUGGUGCCGUAACUUCGGGAGAAGGCACGCUGAUAUGUAGGUGAAGUCCCUCGCGGAUGGAGCUGAAAUCAGUCGAAGAUACCAGCUGGCUGCAACUGUUUAUUAAAAACACAGCACUGUGCAAACACGAAAGUGGACGUAUACGGUGUGACGCCUGCCCGGUGCCGGAAGGUUAAUUGAUGGGGUUAGCCGCAAGGCGAAGCUCUUGAUCGAAGCCCCGGUAAACGGCGGCCGUAACUAUAACGGUCCUAAGGUAGCGAAAUUCCUUGUCGGGUAAGUUCCGACCUGCACGAAUGGCGUAAUGAUGGCCAGGCUGUCUCCACCCGAGACUCAGUGAAAUUGAACUCGCUGUGAAGAUGCAGUGUACCCGCGGCAAGACGGAAAGACCCCGUGAACCUUUACUAUAGCUUGACACUGAACAUUGAGCCUUGAUGUGUAGGAUAGGUGGGAGGCUUAGAAGUGUGGACGCCAGUCUGCAUGGAGCCGACCUUGAAAUACCACCCUUUAAUGUUUGAUGUUCUAACGUUGACCCGUAAUCCGGGUUGCGGACAGUGUCUGGUGGGUAGUUUGACUGGGGCGGUCUCCUCCUAAAGAGUAACGGAGGAGCACGAAGGUUGGCUAAUCCUGGUCGGACAUCAGGAGGUUAGUGCAAUGGCAUAAGCCAGCUUGACUGCGAGCGUGACGGCGCGAGCAGGUGCGAAAGCAGGUCAUAGUGAUCCGGUGGUUCUGAAUGGAAGGGCCAUCGCUCAACGGAUAAAAGGUACUCCGGGGAUAACAGGCUGAUACCGCCCAAGAGUUCAUAUCGACGGCGGUGUUUGGCACCUCGAUGUCGGCUCAUCACAUCCUGGGGCUGAAGUAGGUCCCAAGGGUAUGGCUGUUCGCCAUUUAAAGUGGUACGCGAGCUGGGUUUAGAACGUCGUGAGACAGUUCGGUCCCUAUCUGCCGUGGGCGCUGGAGAACUGAGGGGGGCUGCUCCUAGUACGAGAGGACCGGAGUGGACGCAUCACUGGUGUUCGGGUUGUCAUGCCAAUGGCACUGCCCGGUAGCUAAAUGCGGAAGAGAUAAGUGCUGAAAGCAUCUAAGCACGAAACUUGCCCCGAGAUGAGUUCUCCCUGACUCCUUGAGAGUCCUGAAGGAACGUUGAAGACGACGACGUUGAUAGGCCGGGUGUGUAAGCGCAGCGAUGCGUUGAGCUAACCGGUACUAAUGAACCGUGAGGCUUAACCUUACAACGCCGAAG